rnacentral:rRNA from 1 species
UACGGGGGGAGCAAGCGUUGUUCGGAUUUACUGGGCGUAAAGGGCGCGUAGGCGGCCACCGCAAGUCAGUUGUGAAAUCUCUGGGCUUAACCCAGAAAGGUCAACUGAUACUGCGGGGCUAGAGUGGAGAAGGGGCAACUGGAAUUCUUGGUGUAGCGGUGAAAUGCGUAGAUAUCAAGAGGAACACCUGCGGCGAAGGCGGGUUGCUGGGCUGACACUGACGCUGACAGCGCGAAAGCUAGGGGAGCGAACGGG